UACGGUAGGGGGCAAGCGUUGUCCGGAUUUACUGGGCGUAAAGAGCGUGUAGGCGGCCACGCAGGUCCGUUGUGAAAACUGGAGGCUCAACCGUCCAGACGUCGACGGAAACCGUAUGGCUAGAGUCCGGAAGAGGAGAGUGGAAUUCCGUGGUGUAGCGGUGAAAUGCGCAGACAUCAGGAAGAACACCAAUGGCGAAGGCAGCUCUCUGGGACGGUACGUGACGCUGAUGCGCGAAAGCGUGGGGAGCAACGGGGA
rnacentral:rRNA from 1 species